rnacentral:rRNA from 1 species
CUUGCUCUGGUGGAUUAGUGGCGAACGGGUGAGUAACACGUGAGCAACCUGCCCUGGACUCUGGGAUAAGCGCUGGAAACGGCGUCUAAUACUGGAUACGAGACGUGGCCGCAUGGUCAACGUUUGGAAAGAUUUUUCGGUCUGGGAUGGGCUCGCGGCCUAUCAGCUUGUUGGUGAGGUAAUGGCUCACCAAGGCGUCGACGGGUAGCCGGCCUGAGAGGGUGACCGGCCACACUGGGACUGAGACACGGCCCAGACUCCUACGGGAGGCAGCAGUGGGGAAUAUUGCACAAUGGGCGCAAGCCUGAUGCAGCAACGCCGCGUGAGGGAUGACGGCCUUCGGGUUGUAAACCUCUUUUAGCAGGGAAGAAGCGAAAGUGACGGUACCUGCAGAAAAAGCGCCGGCUAACUACGUGCCAGCAGCCGCGGUAAUACGUAGGGCGCAAGCGUUAUCCGGAAUUAUUGGGCGUAAAGAGCUCGUAGGCGGUUUGUCGCGUCUGC